rnacentral:rRNA from 1 species
UUGGAGGGCAAGUCUGGUGCCAGCAGCCGCGGUAAUUCCAGCUCCAAUAGCGUAUAUUAAAGUUGUUGCAGUUAAAAAGCUCGUAGUUGAAUUUCGGGAUUCAUCCGUUGGUCGGGCUUCACGGUCCGUACUGGUGUGAUGGGUUCCUACCUUCUGAAUAACCGGCAUGCCAUUAAUUUGGUGCGCCGGGGAAGCAGAACUAUUACCUUGAAAAAAUUAGAGUGCUCAAAGCAGGCAAGUGCCUGAAUAGGUUAGCAUGGAAUAAUAAAAUAGGACGGCAUGGUUCUAUUUUGUUGGUUUCUAGGAUCACCGUAAUGAUUAAUAGGGAUAGUUGGGGGCAUUAGUAUUCAAUUGUCAGAGGUGAAAUUCUUGGAUUUAUUGAAGACUAACUUCUGCGAAAGCAUUUGCCAAGGAUGUUUUCAUUAAUCAAGAACGAAAGUUAGGGGAUCGAAGACGAUCAGAUACCGUCGUAGUCUUAACCAUAAACUAUGCCGACUAGGGAUCGGACGAUGUUAAUUUUUUAAUGACUCGUUCGGCGCCUUACGGGAAAC